UAGGAUGACUCAGGGUUAAACUGUCAACCCUGAUCAGAUCAUCCGAAUCGUGCUCAACUCAAACAGUCUUGUGACUCUUCACAAGGACUACCCUGACCAAGGUUUUGCUAAAUUGAAACAUGACUGUACACAGCUCCUAAACUGGAGUGGUCAAUCCCAUCUUGACACAUGCACCGACAAGUCAAGUACUUGACUAUACUCAGCAGCCUUCCAUCACUGAAUUAAAAAUUCAGGUAGUCCAGUGCCUAAGUACAGUGAGUUGCUUGCAAGUCACCGUGGCGGUCUCAGGUCGG
rnacentral:lncRNA from 1 species